UUUAACAGAUGCAAAAAUUAGUAAUGGGUCGUAGUUAAAGAGCUAUUGUACCACUGUCUUACUGCUGAUUUCUGUCUCUUUCUCGUGAGCGUGCUGAUACAGAUGAUGUUUGCUGACCCUCAAGCUAGCACAGAACAGCCUAGUGCUGCUGGAAGAGGAAGCUGAGGUCGGGCUGUGCUGGCUUUGGACCUGAGCUAGGAUGCCUGUCUGAUGCUGUGACUGCCAUGGUGAUGUACAAAGAUACUCUGGCCUAUCUCAGAGCGAUGGUUUAUAGCACAUGAAACAGGACAGAAGAUAGCUAAGUGGCCAGAUGAAGAAGUACAAUGCUGACCAACUGCAACAUGAGAAGUUUCUCAAUUCCUGUGUGGUGGCUAUUGUAUGAAAAAGGAUUACCAGUUUUCCAUACUAUGUGAGACUGUCUGGAUGCUGUCCCCAUGGUUCAAGCUGUGCUGUCCCCCUCGCUGACGUCCCACAUUGCAACCCGGAGGGUUGAGCAUCUUUCUGGGGGUGUCGCUGAUUCUGGUGGGUCUCCUCGGGAAGGCAGCAACGCUCUCGUGCAGUACAGAAGGGAGACCGAGACCAGGCGAGCGCAGGCUUUGCAUCAAGGGAACCACUGAAUAAUGAACUAAUGGACAUUGGGUAACUUCUUUGCUUCCCAGCAAUGGAAAGGAUGCAAUCCUAAAUACCUGGAAAAAAGAGAGAGCCCCCACCUCCUUCACUCUGCAAGUACAAAUUCCAAAGAAGUAAAAAAAGAAAUUAGUUCAGUAAAAAAUACCUCCUCAUUUAGUCUGACCACCUUUCACUUUCCUGGUCCCUUCAUUUUCUCACUUGU